UACGUAGGGCGCAAGCGUUGUCCGGAAUUAUUGGGCGUAAAGGGCUCGUAGGCGGUUUGUCGCGUCGGGAGUGAAAACCAUGGGCUUAACUCAUGGCUUGCUUCCGAUACGGGCAGACUAGAGGCAUGCAGGGGAGAACGGAAUUCCUGGUGUAGCGGUGAAAUGCGCAGAUAUCAGGAGGAACACCGGUGGCGAAGGCGGUUCUCUGGGCAUGUCCUGACGCUGAGGAGCGAAAGUGUGGGGAGCGAACAGG
rnacentral:rRNA from 1 species